CCAUGCUGCUCUCGCGGAGGCCUGUCCUCCCGGAAGGGCUGCGUCUCCCAGGGCGGAGGAGAAGUCAGAACGGGAGUCUCUCAGGGCUGCUCGCCGGCUUUGCGAGGGCGGGGAGGAGGGUCAGGAGGGAAAGAGGGUCCCAGUUUGGCUUUUUCCGGCGGUGACGAUGAAGAGCUAUUUCUCUAGGCCUCCAGAACCCAGCGUCUAGGGACGCCCUCUCCACAGCGCCGCCACAGACCAAACCACCUCUGCCGGCGCCCAAGACGCAGUUGACUGUGUGCGCAUGCGCGGACCACGAACAUCAUCUCUGUCCGCCUUUCCCAGGCACGUGCCUUUCCCUCCUCCAGGCCUCCUCAGCUGACCAGGUUGAGGCUCCGGGCUAGUGCGCAGGCGCCGAUCAUUCUUUCCCCACCCUUUCAUCUCCUGGAGAGGGGAGAGCGAGAGCGCAAAGAACCCAGGGAAACUCUUAUAGGAAAACUAAGAGAUAACGUGCGGGAGAAGGCGGGGCUUCCUCCUCCGAAGGCUCGCAGGCAGAGCGCCACGCCUCCAGUGUUGGCGCCCCGCCUCGCCCUUUUCCUUUGGAAUAUCUUUGCUCUCUGGAUCCUUCUGGCAGUUCGGGUGGCUUUGUAAAGAAUCUCUUCCCGGGAAGGUGGGAAGACAGAGGACCACUCUGACUCGAACCAGAAGGCACAGGGCAUGAUGGGGCUGGUGCGGCGGACACAGCUCCGCUCUUCCGAGACCUGAACCUGGGCACCUCCUCAUGGCUCAACUCUUUCCGGGAGCUGGGAAGGCACAGGUCUCACAGGAGCUCAAUGCUCAUGGCAGGCCUUGUGUAGAAGUGAUGGGACAUUGAGACGAGGCCAUUAAGCAGUUCUCCAUCCUGGCUACACAUUAAAAGUAUCUGAACAUGCAUUUCAGCCGAAAGGAUAAUCUCUCAAGGUUAUGGCAAGUCAAGUUAGACUCCUAAAGGACAGGACUAGGGUGGGAAGGGAAUGUCUGCAGAGUCUGGAUUGGGGGAAAGGAAUUCCAAACUUUUGACGUGGUUCUCAAUGGCCCCAUUGCUCCUCCACAAGGGCCUCAAACAGGAAAAUGGCUAUACGUGUUCAGAGAAUGAAUAAAAGAAAGCAAGACGGAUAACUGGGUGACACCUGCUUCUGCUCCCGCAUAAUUAAUAUGGGAGUGCUGUGAGUGUGAAGAAAUGGACAUUCACAUACACUUGCAGUGGUGCAUUGGUGCCAUUUUUAUACAAGGUAAUGUGUAGGUUCCUCUCCUAAAUUUUUUGUCUUGAGAAAAAAUUCACAUACCUAAAAUUUACCAUUUUGAAGUGUGAGCCCAUGGGAAUGUGGCCCAUCCAGUCCUUCCAGAGUUCUACUGUGCUGGAGUAUAGACCCAGGGUGGCUAGAUUUCUGCAGAUCCUGUUAAGACGCAAAUUCUGACUUGGCAAGUGUGGGGUGGACCUGAAAGUCUGCAUCUAACAAGCUCUCAGGUGAUGCUGAUCACACUGGCCUGUGGAAUAUAUUUUCAAUACGAAGGCUAAUGGGGACCCCUGUCCCCUGAGAGGAUGACCCACCCAUCCCAGCAUUGACCUCUAUUGUAUCCUGUGUCCUGGCCUUGGGUUCUGUCAGUACCACAUAGAGAACCAGGAGUCCCAAACUCAGGGGAUUAUUUUCUCUUGGGACACAGAAAUCCAGCUGGGCACCAGGAUGUUCCCAGUGUCCUCAAAUGCUCUGGGAAUGCUGGAUUUACUCCUGGCAGGAAGAUCGCAGAGAUGACUCUGGGCAUGAGAAAGGGGCAAGCUGAGUGAUGACCAGUGAGGGUGCCCACCCUCUAUCUCCAGUGUCUCCAGCCUGGCCUCUGCUUUCAGGGAUAGACACUCAAUAUAGGGUGUCACAGGAGCUGCAAUUCUCGGGUGUGAAGGUAGAGGUUUCCCAUGUGUCCUGGGUGAGAGGACAGUGGUGGUGGGAGAUCAGGUGGCUGUGGGCUCCCUGAUCCUUGGGGGAAAGUUUCAGGGAGACCCCCCCACCCAAGCAUGUUGGUUGAGGUGUGGCUCAGAGCCUGUCUAUUUGCUCCCUGAUCAUCCUGGGGGCCCCUGUCCUCUGACUGGCUGACUUUCCUGUGGUCAUUCUGCCUUCCCCAUGGGUGGUACCAGGCAGGGAGUGGGGAGAUGCACACAGACCCCUGACAGAUCAGGGUGCUCUGAGGCCCUUAGAAGGAACGGAUAGGAAGGACCCAGAAGGGUCUUCCUGAGCAAGGGAUAGAAGUCAGGCUCCUUCUUCACCUCCUUAGCCAAAGUCAGGUUCAUGAGUUAAUUUUCUGUGUGUCCCAAUUUCGCCCCCCAAAGGGAAUGCUGCCAGUGUCAGGGGCUGCACCAAGGAUGCUGACCAGGCUCUAGAAGGUGUGCACUGGCACUGGGCCCUGGACAGACAUGAGUUCUGAUCUCCAGGCUGAAGGUCCUCUAAGCCUAGGUCCUGGUCACUGCUGGUUGCGAGGCUGCCCAACUCCAUCCCAGUGUAGGGUGAGCCCAGGGAAAGGACAGGCAUUGUCCAGUGGACUCCUAAUCCAGUGUCCUGUGCUGCCUGGUUGAUGUGCUGCCUCCGGAGAAGCUCUCUGUUCUGGUGGUUUCAAAGGAAGGGUGAGGGGUCUCUUGAGGCUUUCAAGAGAGAGUGAAGGGCUGGUCCCCAGAAUGACCUGUGUUUCCCCAAUCACAGCACUGGGGCAUGGCAUCCGAGUCAUCUGUGUCCCUGUCUGUCAUCUCCUCUAGGCCUUUCCACAGGGCCCAGGACCUAGAUCAGUUCCACAUGAAGACUCAGACAGGGGAUCCUGUGGGUUCCUCUGUUAGGAGAGGGGAGGCUCCAUGGGACCCUCAGCCCCUUUGACAUGGAAGCAAACACAGGUCCUGGUUCUCCUAUCCCAUCCUGCAUUGGAAGUUUCCCUUGUUCACUCUGCUGCCUUGGGCUGGUGAGAUGUCUUCAGGGGACUACAACUAGUGUCCCCACAGACUUGAGACCCUUGAGGUGAGAAGUCACCCCCUGAUUACUCUGAGGUCAGAGUGGGGCUCCCUCCUCCCCUUAGGGUAACUUUACCUGGGGUGGAGAAUCCAGAGUUUGUGUCAGGUCAGGUCUCUGUGAGAAGAGGAAGAACACAGGCUAUCAGCCCAGGCCGUCCAGGGAGAGAAGUCCCUCACAAGGUAGACAUGGGAAGGGGGUGGGAUUUUCUGGAUGAAUGGGGAUCGAACCCCUCACUGUUAGGAGGCCCCUGUCCUCCCUCCUGACUCAACAAGGGGUAAAGGCCUCUCCCCGGGAUAGCCACAGGCCUCCCAUGCUGAUGCCAAUACCCCUGUGUGUACAUGGAAUGUGCUGUGACCUCCAGGUGUCAUACAGGAGUGAAGGGCUUCCAUUGUGUGGUUUCCUCAACCAUUUGAGAAAUUUAUUUGACAUGUUUAUUAAGCAUCUGUUACUGGGUGCAGACAGGGAUGGCUGGAUACCUGGCCUGGCUUAGGUCUGCUCCUUACAGACAUUGUCGCUGGAGUGCAGGCUACUGUUCAGAGUCCCCACUUGGGCACAAGGAAGGGAUCCGAUGUCUCCAUGUCUCAUCAGGGAUUAAUUGUGGUGGCCUGCUCUCUGGAUCUGCCUCCUGCUCUCAUUUCCAGUUCCUGUCAAACCUCUGCCUCCCAUCCUGGCACUGCCUGAGGCCUCAGCACUGCCUCUCUGGCACUGGGGUCUGGACACUGUCAGGUACUGAGCUGACCAAACCCUCUGUCUCAUGUGACCCUCCUGGUGUUGGAGAGAAGGGCCAGGUGAUGGGAUCAGGGCUGCCUCCUGGGAAAGCACCUCCAAAUCUCGGUGUCUUUAUAAAUCCAUGGAGGCAAAAUGCAAGGUUAUAUGAGAAGAACUGCAUAAGUGCACCAUGACCCAGAGGGUCACUGGAACAGAAUUGUUGACUAGAAUCACAGGGUACAGCCUGCCAGGGGUGCCAGAAUCUUCUAAGAGCAGCUACUGUGUGCCAGGUAUUGUGCUGGGUGCUUGACACAAAGAUGCAUGCGGUCCUUACAACAACCUUAUGAGGCAGGUACUCUUAGUGUACCUAUUUCACAGAGGAGCAAAGCAAGGCUCACAGAUACUGUUACUUGCCCAUGUCACCCAGCACCCAGUGAGUACCUGGUACCAUAAGGAGCUAGAGUGACAUGUGUGCCUCUAGGGGCUCACUUGUCACCUUAUCCUACAAGGAAAACCCCACUGCUUAAUCGUCCACGUGCCUAAAAUUCAAAUCACUUUUAAUUGUUUUUGUGUAUAUUUGUUUGCAUCCAUUUAAAUACUGUAAAAUUAAAAACAAUUUAAAAUAAAACAUAUCCAAUUGGAAUAACUUUCAUGUGUUAGUUGUGCUUUAAAAUCU
ensembl:lncRNA